rfam:Salmo salar isolate Sally breed double haploid chromosome ssa20, whole genome shotgun sequence.
UGGCUCAGUUGGUAGAGCAUGGUGUUUGCAACGCCAGGGUUGUGGGUUCCAUUCCCAU